GUGGGGAAUAUUGGACAAUGGGGGCAACCCUGAUCCAGCAAUGCCGCGUGAGUGAUGAAGGCCUUAGGGUUGUAAAGCUCUUUCGCACGCGACGAUGAUGACGGUAGCGUGAGAAGAAGCCCCGGCUAACUUCGUGCCAGCAGCCGCGGUAAUACGAAGGGGGCGAGCGUUGUUCGGAAUUACUGGGCGUAAAGGGCGCGUAGGCGGCCCGAUCAGUCAGAUGUGAAAGCCCCGGGCUCAACCUGGGAACUGCAUUUGAUACUGUCGGGCUUGAGUUCCGGAGAGGAUGGUGGAAUUCCCAGUGUAGAGGUGAAAUUCGUAGAUAUUGGGAAGAACACCGGUGGCGAAGGCGGCCAUCUGGACGGACACUGACGCUGAGGCGCGAAAGCGUGGGGAGCAAACAGGAUUAGAAACCCGAGUAGUCC
rnacentral:rRNA from 1 species